rnacentral:misc_RNA from 1 species
UGGCUCUCGCAUCGAUGAAGAACGCAGCGAAAUGCGAUAAGUAAUGUGAAUUGCAGAAUUCAGUGAAUCAUCGAAUCUUUGAACGCACCUUGCGCUCCUUGGUAUUCCUCGGAGCAUGCCUGUUUGAGUGUCAUGGAUAUCUCAAUCCCUAGAAGGCUUUUGUCAACUAGUGGACUUGGAUUUGGAAGUUGUCAGCCACACUGACUCUUCUUAAAUGUAUUAGCGGUACCUAAUUGUAUCUCCGGUGUGAUAAUAUCUACUCCGCUUGAUCACAAACAAAGGAUCUGCUUAUAAUCGUCCUUCGGGACAAUUCUUGACAUCUGACCUCAAAUCAGGUAGGACUACCCGCUGA